UUAAUAUGUUACACAACUUGGUCAGCACGUGCUUGACCCGCAUCGACAUAAUCCGCAGUUUUUUUUUAUUUGGAGCGAUCUGGUCUGCAACUCGUCAUUUAGAUUGGGCCACAUCAAUUGGAUCUAUUUGCUCCGCAUCAUUUCCUUCUUGCUCAGCAUCGGAUCCAGUCGACCCUUUUUUCCUCUUAUUCAUCCUCUGAUGACUCAUCUCCUCAUAAUCAUCCUCAACAUUCAACAAUACGGGAAGUCCUUAGUAGCAAGCUCUUCAUCAAUCUUCUUCUUUGCCCAGCCUAAGAUGUGGCCAUGCCCUGCUGUAACAGUCAAUGACCCUUGAUCAUAUCUUUCUUAGCGAGUUCAUGUUGGGUUUCUAGGCAUAUUGUUGAGAUAAAUUAAAUUAGAAUAAUUAAAUACGCAACGAAAAAAUAUUAACAUACAAUAUUUUACCCCAAUUGUAUUAUAUAUGUUGUUGGUUGAAAUAUGAUAAUGCAACAAAGAAGAUGGUGAAGAUACUAACUUACAUGAAUCAUCUAGCCACGUGUGUGCCACUUCGUAAGAUCAUCUUUGUGCUUAUGUGUUCUUCCCGUUUGUGAUUAAUCACGAUAAGCUCCCCAAGUGUUGAGUUCAUAGAAGUAUCCACAUUGAUACACCAAUGACAUAUGAUGGUGUGAGGAAAUUGAUUAUGCUAGCAAUAUCACGAACUUGGAUCAAUGGAAUGGGCAGCACACUAGGGUGUUUUCAGCUAAGGUAUUUUUGCCUCUUUUCCCUAAGGAAAAAAUCUUAGCAUUAUGGACUUAUGAAAGAACGCAUGAGGUAUUCAUAGAACCCUCCUAGCCGUACACAAUUAAGGUUUUACCGUUAAGGGCCUUUCCUUGCAUUAAGCCCACUUUCACUUGUCCACUUGGGCUUAUGACUUGGACCCCUUUUAGUUAAAUAAAGCUCAAAACUUAUUUUGGUUAAAACAUGUCCAACAGGCCCAAACAAUCAGUCCAAUGUAAUUAACAACUAAUUAUAUAUUAUCAUCACCCAUGUAACAUCGUUAGUACUAUUAUAGGCAUGUGACUCUUAAGACUAAUUAAAACGGCAGUGAU
rnacentral:lncRNA from 1 species